AGUGAACGCUGGCGGUAGGCCUAACACAUGCAAGUCGAACGGCAGCACAGUAAGAGCUUGCUCUUACGGGUGGCGAGUGGCGGACGGGUGAGGAAUACAUCGGAAUCUACUUUUUCGUGGGGGAUAACGUAGGGAAACUUACGCUAAUACCGCAUACGGCCUACGGGUGAAAGCAGGGGAUCUUCGGACCUUGCGCGAUUGAAUGAGCCGAUGUCGGAUUAGCUAGUUGGCGGGGUAAAGGCCCACCAAGGCGACGAUCCGUAGCUGGUCUGAGAGGAUGAUCAGCCACACUGGAACUGAGACACGGUCCAGACUCCUACGGGAGGCAGCAGUGGGGAAUAUUGGACAAUGGGCGCAAGCCUGAUCCAGCCAUACCGCGUGGGUGAAGAAGGCCUUCGGGUUGUAAAGCCCUUUUGUUGGGAAAGAAAAGCAGCAGGUUAAUACCCCGCUGUUCCGACGGUACCCAAAGAAUAAGCACCGGCUAACUUCGUG
rnacentral:rRNA from 1 species